rnacentral:rRNA from 1 species
CCGAUGGAGGGGGAUAACUACUGGAAACGGUAGCUAAUACCGCAUAACGUCGCAAGACCAAAGAGGGGGACCUUCGGGCCUCUUGCCAUCGGAUGUGCCCAGAUGGGAUUAGCUAGUAGGUGGGGUAACGGCUCACCUAGGCGACGAUCCCUAGCUGGUCUGAGAGGAUGACCAGCCACACUGGAACUGAGACACGGUCCAGACUCCUACGGGAGGCAGCAGUGGGGAAUAUUGCACAAUGGGCGCAAGCCUGAUGCAGCCAUGCCGCGUGUAUGAAGAAGGCCUUCGGGUUGUAAAGUACUUUCAGCGAGGAGGAAGGUGUUGUGGUUAAUAACCGCAGCGAUUGACGUUACUCGCAGAAGAAGCACCGGCUAACUCCGUGCCAGCAGCCGCGGUAAUACGGAGGGUGCAAGCGUUAAUCGGAAUUACUGGGCGUAAAGCGCACGCAGGCGGUCUGUCAAGUCGGAUGUGAAAUCCCCGGGCUCAACCUGGGAACUGCAUCCGAAACUGGCAGGCUAGAGUCUUGUAGA